UACGGAGGGUGCAAGCGUUGUCCGGAAUCACUGGGCGUAAAGGGCGCGUAGGCGGCCCGGUAAGUAGGGGGUGAAAUCCUGCGGCUUAACCGCAGGGCUGCCUUCUAAACUGUCGGGCUCGAGCACGGUAGAGGCAGAUGGAAUUCCCGGUGUAGCGGUGGAAUGCGUAGAGAUCGGGAAGAACAUCAGUGGCGAAGGCGGUCUGCUGGGCCGUUGCUGACGCUGAGGCGCGACAGCGUGGGAAGCAAACAGG
rnacentral:rRNA from 1 species